rnacentral:rRNA from 1 species
AUGGCGGCGGCGGCGGAGGGGCUGGCGGCGUAUCGGGCGGUGUUGCGGGCGGCGCGGCGGACGUUCUCAGGCGACCAGCUGAUGCUGACGGAGUCGGCGGUGGAGAUCCGGCGCCGCUUCGAGGAUCACCGCGGCCUCGCCCCGGGAUCGGAGGACGCCGUCCGCGCCCUCUCCGAGGCCCGCGAGGCCGCGGACUUCAUCGCCAACAUGAUCGUCCAGGCCAAGCGCUCACCCUCCGGAUCCUUCGUUGUGAAGCCUGAGAAGGCACAUGCCGGAGCUACGCUUGAGAUUCCUUCCGAGGAGACCCUGUCUACGUUGAAAUAG